AUCGCUUCUCGGCCUUUUGGCUAAGAUCAAGUGUAGUAUCUGUUCUUAUCAGUUUUAAUAUCUGAUACGUCCCCUAUCUGGGGACCAUAUAUUAAAUGGAUUUUUGGAACAGGGAGAUGGAAGAAGAGCUUGCUCUGUCCACUCCACGCAUCGACCUGGUAUUGCAGUACCUCCAGGACCGGUGCACCUCUC
rnacentral:snRNA from 1 species